GAUGAAGAACGUAGCGAAAUGCGAUAAGUAAUGUGAAUUGCAGAAUUCAGUGAAUCAUCGAAUCUUUGAACGCACAUUGCGCCCGCCAGUAUUCUGGCGGGUAUGCCUGUUCGAGCGUCAUUUCAACCAUCAAGCCCUGCUUGCGUUGGGGUCCUGCGGCUGCCCGCAGGCCCUGAAAACCAGUGGCGGGCUCGCUAGUCACACCGAGCGCAGUAAUACAUCUCGCUUUGGGCGUGCGGCGGGUUCUUGCCGUUAAACACCCCCUUUUUACCAAGGUUGACCUCGGAUCAGGUAGGAAUACCCGCUGAACUUAAGCAUAUCAAUAAGCGGAGGA
rnacentral:misc_RNA from 1 species